rnacentral:rRNA from 1 species
UGACCCGUCCUGAAACAAGGACCAAGGAGUCUAGCAUGUGCGCAAGUCAUUGGGUGUUAAACCUAAAGGCGCAACGAAAGUAAAGUCCUGGAGACUCAGGGCGUGCUUGCGCGUCCUCUCUCUUAUGGACUGGGGUGAUGGUUGGCACUGCUUCUGCAUCCGACUCGCAACCCCGGGAUGUCAAUGUCUCGCCGAGACUAGAUGUCCUCUGAGCGUACAUGUUGGUACCCGAAAGAUGGUGACCUAUGCCUGGCCAGGACGAAGUCAGGGGAAACCCUGAUGGAGGUCCGAAGCGGUUCUGACGUGCAAAUCGAUCGCAUGAGCUGGGUAUAGGGGCGAAAGACUAAUCGAACCGUCUAGUAGCUGGUUCCUUCCGAA